CCUACGGGGGGCGGCAGUGAGGAAUAUUGGUCAAUGGGCGAGAGCCUGAACCAGCCAUCCCGCGUGCAGGAUGACGGCCCUAUGGGUUGUAAACUGCUUUUCUACGCCAAGAAACGGCCCUACGUGUAGGGCACUGACGGUAGCGUAGGAAUAAGCAUCGGCUAACUCCGUGCCAGCAGCCCCGGUC
rnacentral:rRNA from 1 species